UUGCAGGUUUUUGAGCAGAAAUGCUGGUAUCUGAGCACGGAGUAGAAAUUGCUAUAUUUCUCUGCUCCCUAAGAAACUUUGUACGUCGUUUUCCAAGCAGACCGCGUUUAGUUUACGCGAAAUGAACUUAUGUAUGCUCUAUGAUGAUCCGCCGCAGGCUUAGCCCUUUUCCCCGAUCACCAGUGUUUUGGCAUUCGAUGUCGCAUGUCUAGACUUGUUCAGUAGUGUCUUUCUUGCUGCAAUUUUUACCCUUCGCUGAUAUCUUGUUGCUGUCAUGUUGUGCUAGCCGCGUAGCGAUAAGCGGUGAUUCUCCGAUUAUUCCUAGGCGGUACGGCUUAAGCCUUUUCCCUGCUCACUGAAGGAAAUUUGUGUAUCCCUGUCCUGUGCUUUCUUUACGCAAGGGUAAUGCGUCUGUGUAUGUGGCACUAUCAUAUAGCAGACAUGAGUGUCUUUUUCUUGGUUUAUUGGCAUAUGCUUCAGGUUUUUUAAGUCAAGCAAAAGUGCGUGUAAUAUUUCGCUGCUCUUUUUCUUAUUUUCUCUACUUUUAUGUAGAAGAAAGCCUCCUGCGUAAAAGCUGAAUAGUGUUCUACCAGUGGAAGUGGGGUUGUUUGUUUGAUUUUGUUGGGUGUUCGAUAUCUUGACGAAGUAAGCAGUGCUUAAUUUUGCAGGUUUUUGAGCAGAAAUGCUGGUAUCUGAGCACGGAGUAGAAAUUUCUAUAUUUCUCUGCUCCUUAAGAAAAUUUGUACGUCGUUUUCCAAGCAGACCGCGUUUAGUUUACGCGAAGUAGAAAAAUGAAGUUGUGUAUGCUCUAUGAUGAUCCGCCGCGGGCUUAGGCCUUUUCCCCGAUGAGCAGUGUUUUGUAUGCGAUGUCGCAUGUCUGGACUUGUUCAGUGUUGCAAUUUUUACCCUUCGUUAAUAUCUUGUUGUUGUUGUCGUCUUGUGUUAGACGUUGAGCUUCGUAGCGAUGUGCGGUAACGCUACGAUUAUUCCUGAGCGCUCCGUGUGUUUAAUGCGUUGUCCUCUUUGCGUGCAUGCGUGUGCUUUUUUUCUCCUGAUUUGUGACGUCCUCGUGGCAUGUCUGGACUUGUUUAGCAGUGUUGCAGUUCUUCCCGCUGCUAGUAUCUUGUUGGUGUCAUGUUGUGCUAGCCGCGUGGCGAUGUGUGGUGACCUGAGGUCUUAAGCCUUUUCCCUGCUCACCUAAGGAAAUUUGUGUAUCCCUGUCCUGUGCUUUCUUUACGCAAGGGUAAUGCGACUGUGUAUGUGGCAUUAUGCAAGAAUUAUCUGGUGGCAGAAAUAGGCGUAUUUUUCUCAGUGUAUUGGCGUGCGCUACGGUUUCUUGCAGUUACAGCUAUUGGAGCACACAUACGUGUAAUUUUUCGCGGUUCUUUUCUCCUUUCACGGCUUUUACUCAGAAUGUAGAUGAGGGGAAACAGUCAGCAUCCAGGUAGAGCAGGAGAAAGCCGCUCGGCAGAGGAGAGAGUUCAUGAGAAUGGAAUUUGUUUGUUUUUUGUUAUAUGUUGAGUGUUAGUAUUCGCUUUCCUCGAUAUGUUGAGGAAGUCAGCCGUUAUAGGUAUUUGUGCAGAAAUGCUGGUAUCUGAGUGUGUGGAGUAGAAAUUCCUAUAAAGCACCUCUCCUUGUGCAUUCCUGAGCUGCUGUGUGCGCGCGCGUGCUUCUUUUUCCUGGAUUGCGACGUCAUGAUGGCAUGUUGGGGCUUGUUUAGCAGUGUUGCAAUUUUACCCGCCGCUAUUAUCUUGUUAUCUUGUGUUAGCCGCGUAGCGAUAAGCGGUGAUUCUCCGAUUAUUCCUGAGGUCUUAAGCCUUUUCCCUGCUCACCUAAGGAAAUUUGUGUAUCCCUGUCCUGUGCUUUCUUUGCGACAAUGCGUCUGUGUAUGUGGCACUAUCAGAUACCAGACAUGAGUGUCCUUUUCUUGGUUUAUUGGCAUAUGCUUCAGGUUUUUUUAAGUCAAGCACAAGUGCGCGCAAUUUUUCGCUGCUCUCUUCCUCAGAUCACCGAUUUUACGAAGAAGACAGUCGCAUGGUACAGCUGAGAAGAGGGUUUCUCUGAUUGUUUGUUUGAUUUUGUUGGGUGUUCGAUAUGUUGAGGAAGUCAGCUGUUAAAGGUAUCCGUGAAGAAAUGCUUGCACCUGAGCGCAGGAUAGGAAUUCCUGAAGCACGGCACCCUCAGUGUAAAUUAAUUAUGUUGGAUAUGAGUCUGCUUCCCUGCAUGACAAGGCUGAAAUGGGAAGAGAGAAAAAAUUGGAGCGCUUCAUUAGUAGCGAUCCAAGUAAUAGGGCAAUUAUAGUUUCCAUAGAAAGUAGAAUUUUAAUGGGCUCCUAAAAUUAUAGUUUAGUUGUAGUUUUUCUAAACUGCAAUGCAAUAAUCAUUAAUAUAGUAUAGGAAUGCUAUCGUGUUCCCGUAAAGGCGUUCUGUCUUGUGCUUUGGAAUGCGCGAAUAGAACUUUGCUCGCAGCCUUUCCCGCCUUCAUGCUCGCAAUGCGCGAAUGGAACUUUGCCCACCCGGCUUCCGCGCCUUUUUUGCUCGCGGGUGUAGCCUCAGACAACGAAUGUAUGAGCAUAGAAAGGGUCACGUAUUACAUAAGCCUGGAGGUGAUGUUGAGUGGUCUCACUUAUUAUUUUAAAAGAGCAGUGGCAGUUUACUGUAAUUCUAAUGACCAUGAUGAGCCUUUGGGGUGAAAAUCGUUAAUAUGCGGGUGCUUUUUUGUUGAAUUUUAAUGAGAGAAUCAAUGUCAUUAAGAGUAGGACAAAGGAAAUAAUCUUGCGAUUCAAUAAUUAAUAGAAGUCUUUGCCGCUGUCUUCUUCUUCAGACAGGAUGUGAUGACGACACGCAGUCUGUAGCAAUGCAUUGACCGUCACUGGAAAAAAAGUGUAGCAAUAGAAAAAUGGUGUGUAUUGCCCUGGACGGAUUUAUGAUGUGCACUGUUUUUGAACAAGAGGAGUGCGUGUGCUUGGAAAUAGUUUGAUGCUGGUUUCCUUCUUUGUUUCUUUUCGCUUUUUCCCCCUUGUUGUCUGACAAACAUGCGCUGACAUGCCUGGGCUUGUUCUGACAUGCUUUCCUUCUAGAUGUAGAUUUUUCCUUUUUGAAGAGAAACAUUCUUGACGAUAGUGCUGCCUUGAAUGGGAAUAGUGCUAUUCUUAAUACUUUUGCGAUUCAUUUAGUUCAGAGAGUAUAACCGCGAGGGGGACAGCUGUGUGACUUUAUUCAGGAGGAACAAAGCAUCAUUAUUCAAUUAUCUGCCUGGCUCUCGGGUGGGCCUGGAGGUGAUGUGGAGUGGACUCACUUAUUAUUUUAAAGAGCAGUGGUAGUUUACUGUAAUUCUAAUGACCAUGAUGAGCCUUUGGGGUGAAAAUCGUUAAUAUGCAGGGUGCUUUUUUGUUGAAUUUUAAUGAGAGAAUCAAUGUCAUUAAGAGUAGGACAAAGGAAAUAAUCUUGCGAUUCAAUAAAUAAUAGGAGUCUUUGCCGGUGUCUUCUUCUUCGGACAGGAUGUGAUGACGUCACGCAGUCUGUAGCAAUGCAUUGACCGUUACUGGAAAAAAGUGUGGCAAUAGAAAAAUGGUGUGUAUUGUCCUGGGCAGAUUUAUGAUGAGCACUGUUUUUGAAUAAGAAGAAAUAGUUUGAUGCUGGUUUCCUUCUUUGUUUCUUUUCGCUUUUUCCCCCCUUGUCUGACAAACAUGUGCUGACAUGCCUGGGCUUGUUCUGACAUGCUUUCCUUCUGCAUGUAGUUUUUUUCUUUUUGUACAAGACAUAUUCUUGACGAUAGUGCUGCCUUGAAUGGGAGUAGAGCUAUUCUUAAUAAUUUUGCGAUUCAUUUAGUUCAGAGAGUAACCGCGAGGGGGACAGGUGUGUGACUUUAUGUCUUGCUGAACCAUUUUUUUUCCUGUACAGUAAGACUUUGGGAAUGAAAUGCUACAAUCUCCUCUUGUCUAUGGUGUUUUUCUGCAAUAAUUCCCCACGCAAUCAUUAUAGUAGAAUAAAGGAAAUAAUCUUGGGAUAGUGAUUCAAUAAAUAAUAUGUCCCUUGUCUAGAGCGUACGCGUCCUUGAGCCACGCACCUGCAUGAUGACCGCAUACCGAGAGACUAUUGUUUCAGGUUGACCUUGUCUAGAGGAGCAUUAGUGGAAAAAAACUGUGUAGCCCUGAGACAAUAGGAUGCCGUUACGACCAAUGAGAACGGCCUGCAGGGGGCGCAAGGAUUCACUUCUCUCUUGGACACUGACGGGUCUCGACACGCAAAUUCUGCUCCUGGCGUUGGCCGUCAGUGGAAGAGCGUAGCUUAGGUGGGGUUCUGUCUGCCUCUGAUGGGGUGCGGAUGUGUGGUUCGUCACUGGUGAAUGGUGUUCGACGAUGCAGGUGGAUUUUGUGACGAGCGGAUUUACAAUGAGGGAAUGCUGUGAACGGGAAAAAUGAUGGUGAGUGCCUUUUUCACUCUGUUCAAGUGUUUGUUUUCCUCUGUUGCCCAGCAGUCGUACGAAUUUGUCCUGAUAUGCCCCGAUAUGCAUGCUUUCCUUUGUUGACGCUUAGUAUUUUUUUCUUUUUUGACAAGGAACAUUGUCGUCUUGACGAUAGUGCUGCCCCGAGUUCUGCGCGCGUUGAUUUGUUGAGUGCCUAGUCCUCUUAUUAGCCAUUGAUGGAGUUACAUGUUAGGAUGUUUUGUUCUUUUGCAAGUCUCAUUUAGUAAGACUUUGGAAUUCCUACGAUCAGUUUUCAUGCAUGGUGCUCUUCUGCAAUAGUUUCCUAUGCAAUCGUUAUAGAAGAAUAAAGGAAAUAAUCUUGUGAUAGUGAUUCAAUAAAUAAUAGGUCCCCUGUCUAGAGCGCACGCGUCCUUGAGCCACGCAGGUGCAUGAUGACGUCAUACCGUGGCUUCACUGCAGAUUGACCAAAGGAGCAUUAGUGGGAAAAAAACAGUGUAGCCCUGAGACAAUAGGAUGAUGUCUGGACCAAUGAGAACUGCCAGCAGGGGGCGCAGGAAUGCUCUUCUCACUUAGCCUCACGACCAAUGAGAACGGCCAGCAGGGGGCGCAGGAAUGCUCUUCUCUCUUAGCCUCUCGCAGGUGGCGGUAGGAGCGCGCAGAGGGCGCUACGAGCGCGCGCAUGCGUAGCACCCGUAGAGUGGCGCUUACGUCAGUCCACCUCUGGCUCUCGUUGGGAAAAGACGUGCGGUCGUUCGCUCCGUCGUCACUUGAUCCCUGGCUGUCGACGAGAGCAGUCGCAUCGGUCUGCGCUCCUGCUGUGGUGAGGUGAUUUGUUGCGUAACUAAUGCUUUCGUCAACUUUGUUCCCGCUUUGUUUGCGAUUUUCGUGCCAGUGCUGGUUGCUGUUGUCCGGGCGUUCCCGCCAUUUUCUAUCAUCUUCUGCCUUGGGACCGGGAGUAGCGCUGGCGUGAUUCUUAAUAAUUUUGUUGUGAGAUUAGUUGAGAAAGUAACCGCUAGGGGGUGCAGCUGCGGGGCUUUAUACAGGACAAAAAAGCAUUACGAGUCAGUUUCUGCCUGCCUCUCGGAUGGAGCAGUCGCAUGGUUCUGCGCUCCUGUUCUGGUGGGCUCAUUUGUUGUGUAACUAAUUGUUUUUUCUUGUUAGCUAAUGAUGGUUUGCAUACUCUUGCUUUCCCAGCCUCUGUAUUACGAGUGUUUUUCUCCUUGCAUGUCCAGAGCUGUCCUAACUUGCCCAGACAUGCCAUGAUGACGUCACAGCUGACGUCACAGGAUGUCCGGAACUUGUGGUCAUAGCUGGGAUGCUUUGCAACCUGCCUCUGUGCUCCGUCGCCCGGCGAUGGUCAGCGGCCUUUCCGGGCCGCUUCCUUCAAGAUGGCGUCGUUGAUCUUCAACUAAACUCCUUCUCUCCACUCUAUCUCUAUCUAUUUUUUUAUUUUUUAUGACCACGUUUAUCCGGAAACGCACAGGGUGGUCUGGACACUAGUUAGACGCUCCCCAAUUAGUGUGAUGACUCAUUGGAUGAUGCUGAUUAAUGUGGGGGGUCCCAAUUAGCUCUAAUUGCUAAUUAAUGGCGUCCAGAAGCCUUGUAGCGUUUCCGGAUAAGCGUGGUCAGUACUUACUACUCAGAACAACCUAUUUUGUAUUAUUCAUGCUUUGUCUUGAGUGCGUAUUUGUAACUACAGGUUUUCCCGGCGAUUUUAAUCCAAGUGCCAGCCAGAUUAAUCCAUGCCCCAUAAAGUUUGCAUGGCACGUGGAUUAAUUUCGAUGACGCUUGGAUUAAAAUCACCGGGAAUACCUGUAGAUUUAUUACGUAACGAAUAUAGAAUAAUAUGUAGAUUAUAACUUAUAAGUGCACCAUUAACUGGGUAUAACGUUUAUUCAUCGUGAAUACCAGUACACGAUUCAGGCCACUAAUUCUGAAGACUGGAGUUUGUUGUGAACUCAUGUGUUUUCAUAUGUUGGUUGAUCUUAUUAACAAAGCAGAGGGGCUCUCUCCCACAGUGUGUAAUUCUGUGCAUUACUUUCAGGGGCUAUCGGCGGUACGCAGUUCGCAAUUAUGCAGCCAAGCCUCUCUGGUCCGCGGUUUGCUGAUGGUAAUUACUAUUGCCAUAAAGGCUAUCACUCCAUGAACGUCUUGAUGGUUUCUUCCUCCUCGAGGCGGAUUCUUUUGCGAACGCAAGGUUUCCCGGAUCAUGCCACGAUGCAUCUGCAUGGACAGCCUGCAAUCUGCACCAAGCAGCUGCCACUGUAUUCGAAGAUGGAGUGUUGCUACGUGGUAUGAGAUGUUUGUGUACCGAUUACGCACAACAACGCAGCUUUGCAUAUUGAGUUCUGGCACCUUUAAAUACUGAAAAAGACUCCAACAUGUAUUAGCCGAGGCAGGCUUCACCAGGGACGACAAACACACGUAAUGGUAGCAUAUCUGACCAGAAAGAUCCAGGUUUCGAACCCUGGCAUCAGCACAUUGUCCCUGAGUUCUUUAUUGCGAAAAUGAUUUGUUUGUAACUGGCUGAAAAGCAUACCAUGCCUAGUAAUUGUUACUCACUGCACCAGUGCCAAGAAAUGAUUAAUUUUUAUUCCAUGCAUUACUCAUUUAUUUGCAGUUGAGCAUGUACAUUUGUACAAUGUACGUUUUUAGAAUAAUUAAUUUUACUAUGAAAGUCCGUUCAGUCCGUUCGCCCUCAACACCCGAGGAACAGAGUUAUAACACUGCACACAGGAGGGCCCGUGUGUACAUUGAUCACUUCUUUGGGGUACUGAAGAUGCGAUUUCGGUGCCUCCAGAGAUACUGCACAUUGCACUACGCUCCGGAUCGGAGCUGCAAGAUAAUCAACGCAUGCGCCGUCCUCCAUAACAUGUGCUUAGUGUACAACACUGUUGAACCCCUGGACGACGCUGGUGAGGAACGGGCGGAAGGUGGCGCCAAACGGAGGAGGAGGGAGCAGAAGACUAUGAGCCUGAUCCUGUGUCCGUGAGAAAUCUUGCAUCACAACGCAGAAGCCUGCUUAUCGGACAGUGUUUCAGAUGACUCACCUCACUGGUUGGAACCUGCCCUCCUGCAUGAGCAAAGUAUGAACUCAUAUCAGAGAAUAGCUGUAAAUAGGAUAUACUAUCUAUACACAACUAGAACUAUACACAGACCCUGUAAAUUUUUCAUUCGUCUACUAUAGACAGAAGCACACAUGUGCCUGGUUAAUAUGGACCUCAUUAAUAUGGAAACUCGCUUUUCCGACACCUUUGCUACGAUGGUGAUUGUAGAGUUCCAUCACCAAGCGCAAUACUCUACCCCAUGAACAGUAGAACAAUGUAAAAACCCCAUGUAGUUCAUGUUUUCUGGCUCAUUAUUAUGGUUGGUAUCAGCAUUGAGGCAGGAGAAGUUGAGCAACUCUCUCCCCAUAUUGAACAGGAGAACUUCUGAAAACACUACAGUACAAGUAGUGUCUUGUACAAAUGAAAGCUACGCCCAUUUUUUUUAUUGUGAUUUUCUUUAUGAGGACACAAGAACUUUGAGGGAAAAAUCUUGGGAGCGUACCAUGACAGGCAUCAUUCACCUGUAAUGUCAAGCUUGAACUGUUUCAUUGAGUACUGUUACUUCCUUAGUACUCGAUAAUAGGGACUAUCUGCUUUAUGGAAAAUUUUGAUGGGAACUAAAGGAGCCCCUAUUAAUGAGGCACAACUGUGUGCCAGCAACUAUUUCAUUGCAGUUUUAGUAUUGUACAGUACAGUGUAGAGCUAUCAUUACUCAAGAAAUUGUAUACAUGUUUAUGACAACAGAACUGCUGUGUUAAGUGGACUAUAACCCUCAAAGUAAAUAAAUCAUAGUUCUGUUAUCUA